rnacentral:rRNA from 1 species
UACGUAGGGUGCGAGCGUUAAUCGGAAUUACUGGGCGUAAAGCGUGCGCAGGCGGUGAUGUAAGACAGAUGUGAAAUCCCCGGGCUCAACCUGGGACCUGUAUUUGUGACUGCAUCGCUGGAGUGCGGCAGAGGGGGAUGGAAUUCCGCGUGUAGCAGUGAAAUGCGUAGAUAUGCGGAGGAACACCGAUGGCGAAGGCAAUCCCCUGGGCCUGCACUGACGCUCAUGCACGAAAGCGUGGGGAGCAAACAGG